rnacentral:lncRNA from 1 species
GAACAAUGCCAUCCUUAUGACAUUGGCAUUGGUUUCCAAGGGCUACUUGGCCAACUUCAAGAUUUGUAACUUUGCAGGGGUCAGCCAGGCUGUGAUCACAUCGGAGCUCUGGGGUUUGAUCUUAGCACACCACCAACGAAGGUGAGCUUGAGCUGAGUGUCCUGCUCUCCAGAGGAACGCCUGUAAAAUGGAACACAUCCGUUCCCAUUUUGAGAAGGAUCACAAUAAAGACUUCGCUAUUCGGUCAGCCUCAGCGGUUAGACCAAAACUUGGGGG